CAGCCGCCACGGUAAUACGUAGGGGGCGAGCGUUGUCCGAAGUUACUGGGCGUAAAGCGCGCGUAGGCGGCUUCUUAAGUCUGAGGUGAAAGGUUCAACGCUUAACGUGAACAGUGCCUUGGAUACUGGGGAGCUUGAGUAUGGGAGAGGGCAGUGGAAUGGCUGGUGUAGCGGUGAAAUGCGUAGAUAUCAGUCGGAACACCCAUGGCGAAGGCAGCUGCCUGGCCUAAUACUGACGCUGAGGUGCGAAAGCGUGGGGAGCGAACGGGAUUAGAUACCCCUGUAGUCCCUGUCUCUUAUA
rnacentral:rRNA from 1 species